UGGAUACCACGGGUGUAUUCCUA
rnacentral:siRNA from 1 species